CCCUGUCAAACACUCAUUUCGCACUGCUGUAAUUGUAUUACUUCCAUUUACAGCAUCACAAAUAUACAACUCAACAGGCUUGCAAAUAUAAUUUUCUAAAGUUGGCACGUUUUACUGUUGAAUUAAUUUUAAAACUCUGAAAAUAAUCUCCACCUGAACAGGUGAAGUACAACAUACAUUACUGCUGGAGGCAGGUGAAAAGAGAAUAUUCUGGCUUUAGUCUCAUCAUAGCUCCCUAACACAUUAAUCUUUUUUUCAUAUUACACCCCCAGGUCUGCUGCAGGUUCCAUAGAGGAAGAGAGCUGUCUUAACUGAUGCACUGGUAGCUCCAACGGGUUGCUCAGGUUGACUGUUCAUUCAGGAGAGGACAAACAAUCUGGGAGAUAGUGUCAACAUCAUUAGUUGUUCAACUCUCACGGUGAAACUCCUUGCUGUCAGGUGAAGCUUGAUGAAGCAAAUGAUCAAAGGAUGGAGGGGAGCAAAACUUUGAAGUUCAGAGAGAUUCUCCAAAGUCUGAAGUACUCUGGAAACAUCCUUCUUGCCGAAAAAGCACAGGAGACAGAAGGAGCUGGGAGCUACUACCAGGGCUAAUGCACAAGAAGAAAUUAACAACCAGCCACACUUUGAGAAAUACUUUCACAGCAUUCUCUCUGGUGAGGUUUUUACUAUUGUUCUUAAUGUUCUUGAGCUAAUCUGAAGGCCGCAUAAGGUUUUGAGGUCUGCACUGACUUUGCAGGCGCACAGUGAGCCUCAGCAUCCACUGACCCUGCUCUGUGAUGGCCUACCACUUGGUGGCUGAGUAGACGUCAUUCCCAAUCGCUUCCAGAGCAGAUGCAAAGCAAGAGUGGUCAGGCCAUAGUGCAGGAGGAUUUGUGGAAACAAGGAAGCAGCAAACAGACUGUACACAAGGAAUGGAGACAGAGCACGGGAGUAGGGAGAAGACACGGAACGGGAGUCGGGAUCGCACUGGGGAUUUAUUGUUGUUUAGAUUGUUACAUCACUGUAAAUAAACGCAAUGCCUUCAUCAUAAAGUCCUGCAUUUUGGGUCCUCCUUCCCCACACACCCACGGUCUGCCACACAGACCAUGACAAGUGUUACUUGUUAAAGUAGAUCAGUAAGGUUUUAAACAUGUUUCGCAGACUCAAACUCUGUACAAAAAGUCAAAAGAUGGUAGGUUAUAAGCACUUGGCAAAUAGAAAGGAUUUUGGUUACAAAAAUGUAGACCAAACCGAG
rnacentral:lncRNA from 1 species